AUUGAACGCUGGCGGCAGGCCUAACACAUGCAAGUCGAGCGGAUGAGGAAAGCUUGCUUUUCGAUUCAGCGGCGGACGGGUGAGUAACGCCUAGGAAUCUGCCUGUUAGUGGGGGAUAACUCGGGGAAACUCGGGCUAAUACCGCAUACGUCCUACGGGAGAAAGUGGGGGAUCUUCGGACCUCACGCUAACAGAUGAGCCUAGGUCGGAUUAGCUAGUAGGUGAGGUAAUGGCUCACCUAGGCGACGAUCCGUAACUGGUCUGAGAGGAUGAUCAGUCACACUGGAACUGAGACACGGUCCAGACACCUACGGGAGGCAGCAGUGGGGAAUAUUGGACAAUGGGCGAAAGCCUGAUCCAGCCAUGCCGCGUGUGUGAAGAAGGUCUUCGGAUUGUAAAGCACUUUAAGUUGGGAGGAAGGGGUAUUCACCUAAUACGUGGGUACUUUGGCGUUACCAACAGAAUAAGCACCGGCUAACUCUGUGCCAGCCGCCGCAGUAAAAC
rnacentral:rRNA from 1 species